GGAUAGGACUAAGACAUGCUAGUCGAGUGACUCAGGCAAAACGAGUCACGGCACACAGCUCAGUAACACGUGGCUAAUCUGCCCUUGGGACUAGAACAACCCCGGGGAAACUGGGGCUAACUCUGGAUAGGUGAAGAACUCUGGAAUGAGUCUUUGCCUAAAUAGGUUCACGUUAUCCUCGUGAACUUGCCCAAGGAUGAGGCCGCGACCGAUCAGGUUGUUGGCGAGGUAAUGGCUCACCAAGCCUUUUACCCGGUGCGGGCCGUGGGAGCGGGAGCCCGGAGAUGGGCACUGAGACAAGGGCCCAGGCCCUACGGGGCGCAGCAGUCGCGAAAACUUUGCAAUACACGAAAGUGUGACAGGGCUAUCCCGAGUGCCAUCCGCUGAGGAAGGCUUUUACCCAGUCUAGAACGCUGGGGGAAUAAGGAGAGGGCAAGUCUGGUGUCAGCCGCCGCGGUAAUACCAGCUCUCCGAGUGGUGUGGAUGUUUAUUGGGCCUAAAGCAUCCGUAGCUGGCCAAGUUAGUCCCUUGUUAAAUCCACCGAAUUAAUCGUUGGAUCGCGGGGGAUACUGCUCGGCUAGGGGACGAGAGAGGCAGACGGUAUUUUCGGGGUAGGGGUAAAAUCCGUUGAUCCAUUGAAGACCACCAGUGGCGAAGGCGGCUUGCCAGAACGCACUCGACGGUGAGGGAUGAAAGCUGGGGGAGCAAACCGGAUUAGAUACCCGGGUAGUCCCAGCUGUAAACGAUGCAGACUCGGUGAUGAAUAGGCUUCGUGCCUAUUCAGUGCCGCAGGGAAGCCGUUAAGUCUGCCGCCUGGGGAGUACGGUCGCAAGACUGAAACUUAAAGGAAUUGGCGGGGGAGCACC
rnacentral:rRNA from 1 species